rnacentral:rRNA from 1 species
CGGAGUCGGCAGCUAGAAUGCAGUCGAGCGAACAGAUAAGGAGCUUGCUCCUUUGACGUUAGCGGCGGACGGGUGAGUAACACGUGGAUAACCUACCUAUAAGACUGGGAUAACUUCGGGAAACCGGAGCUAAUACCGGAUAACAUAUUGAACCGCAUGGUUCAAUAGUGAAAGGCGGCUUUGCUGUCACUUAUAGAUGGAUCCGCGCCGUAUUAGCUAGUUGGUAAGGUAACGGCUUACCAAGGCAACGAUACGUAGCCGACCUGAGAGGGUGAUCGGCCACACUGGAACUGAGACACGGUCCAGACUCCUACGGGAGGCAGCAGUAGGGAAUCUUCCGCAAUGGGCGAAAGCCUGACGGAGCAACGCCGCGUGAGUGAUGAAGGUCUUCGGAUCGUAAAACUCUGUUAUCAGGGAAGAACAAAUGUGUAAGUAACUGUGCACAUCUUGACGGUACCUGAUCAGAAAGCCACGGCUAACUACGUGCCAGCCGCCGCGGUAAU